UAUUGCUGAUCCAGGAGGAGGUGUCUUCAUAUCAGAUCCAAAGAAGCCAGCACCGUUAUCUCAUAUAAAUAAUGAUGUGACUUAGUUACAAAUGUUUUCAAGGGACCCAACAAACAAAUACUUUGUCAACUGUCAAUGCUUGAAAGAAAAAUGGCUCAAGGUACCUUGGAAGCAAUAACUUGAGCGGGGAGCUAUCCGCAAACAUCAUAACUAACACGCUUUUCUUAGAUAUCUCGUUCAAUCAAAUCUCUGGAACUAUACCUGCCAAUAAGUCAUAUAUUUCACUAAAUGCUGUUGGCACUUUGAUCACUAGCGAAAAAAGGUCACGUUCGCGCAGUGCUUGCUUGACGAAAAAUUCGGUGUGCACUAAGAAAGCUUCAUCAACUUCACUUUCGAUCAAAUGUGGUGGAAAUCAAAUAGUAACUGUGGAUGGGUUUCAGUUUGAUGAUGAUUCGAAGAUGCUAGGCCCAGCGUCGUUCUACAUGAGCUCGAACAAGCAGUGGGCAGUGAGCAGUUCUGGAAUAUUCAUUAACAACCAGAAUGGACAGAACUAUACAUCUCAUUC